rnacentral:rRNA from 1 species
AUUGAACGCUGGCGGCAGGCCUUCCACAUGCAAGUCGAACGACUGGCGGACGGGUGAGUUCUUUCUUGGAAACUUCCUGAUGGACGCGGUUCACUACUUUAAACGGUAGCUACUACCGCUUACCAUCGGAUUUUCCCAGAUGGGAUUAGCUAGUCGGUGGGGCAAAGGCUCACCUUGGCGACGAUCCCGAGCUGGUCUGAGAGGAUGACCAGCCACAGUGGAGCUGAGACACGGUCCAGACGCCUACGGGAGGCAGCAGUAGGGAAUAUUGGGAAAUGGAGGCAAGCCGGAAACAGCCAUGCCGCGUGUAUGAAGAAGGUCUUCGGGUUGUAAAGUACUUUCAGCGGGGAAGCGUUACCCGCAGAAGAAGAACCGGCUAACUCCGUGCCAGCAGCCGCGGUAAUUC